ACUCAAAGGAAUUGACGGGGGCCCGCACAAGCGGCGGAGCAUGUUGCUUAAUUCGAGGCAACGCGAAGAACCUUACCUAGGUUGAACUACGCAGGAACAGCCACAGAGAUGUGGUGUCCUUCGGGGCCUGCGAUAGGUGGUGCAUGGCUGUCGUCAGCUCGUGUCGUGAGAUGUUGGGUUAAGUCCCGCAACGAGCGCAACCCUUAUCCUAUGUUGCCAGCGCGUAAUGGCGGGGACUCGUGGGAGACUGCCGGGGUCAACUCGGAGGAAGGUGGGGACGACGUCAAGUCAUCAUGCCCCUUAUGUCUAGGGCUGCAAACAUGCUACAAUGGCUGGUACAAAGGGCUGCGAAACCGCGAGGUCGAGCGAAUCCCAAAAAGCCAGUCUCAGUUCGGAUUGAAGUCUGCAACUCGACUUCAUGAAGCUGGAGUCGCUAGUAAUCCCGGAUCAGCAACGCCGGGGUGAAUACGUUCCCGGGCCUUGUACACACCGCCCGU
rnacentral:rRNA from 1 species